rnacentral:rRNA from 1 species
UACGAAGGUCCCGAGCGUUGUUCGGAAUCACUGGGCGUAAAGGGAGCGUAGGCGGCAUGGUAAGUCAGAUGUGAAAUCCCGGGGCUCAACCCCGGAACUGCAUCCGAUACUGCCUUGCUUGAGGGUUGGAGAGGUGACUGGAAUUAUCGGUGUAGCAGUGAAAUGCGUGGAUAUCGAUAGGAACACUCGUGGCGAAAGCGAGUCACUGGACAACAUCUGACGCUGAGGCUCGAAGGCUAGGGGAGCAAAAGGG